AAUUCAUGUUAUAAAUUUGAAAAUUUAAGAAUUCAAAAAUUCUUUGUCUAUAUACAAAAUAAAAAUUUAUAUAUAUAUAUAUCGCACUGCCAGUCCAGGAAUCGAAACCACGUUCUUGUGAUCGUGAGUCAAUACACUAAGCACUGGGCCACGCGCCUUCACACAACACACACACACACGCACACACACACACACACGUGUGUAUGUGUGAGUGUAUUUGUGUUUUAGUGAACGCGUUUCUCAUUCCCCCAACGCUUGACAAUCAAAGCUGGUUUGUUUUUCUUUCCGAAAUUUACCAGUUCGGCAGAAGAGACCGAUAGAAUAAGUACCUAAUACAUAACAAGAUCUCUAAGUACUGGGAUCGAUGUGUUCGACUAAAAACGUUAUAUUUUAUACAUCAACAUUACCAUUAAUAUUCUGAAUAUAGCAGAAAUAAAAGAAAUAAGAAAUAAAAAUUAUAGUUUUAGAAUAAGUUUUAUUUACCUAAUAAACUACAUGCAACAGUAAAUAAAGUAAAAAUUAAAUAUUGUACUGUACUAUACUUUGAAAAGCAACAAUCUAUGUUAGAGACAGUAGAAACUUUCUUUCUUUUAAUGACAAUUAACUAAUUAACACAAAUCAGGACAAAUUCUCUUCACGCGACUUUUUUUUUUUUUUUUACGUGGGGAAGAAGUCGGAAGAGUUGAGAGUUCUGACUAUCUGAGUAUUGUGUGUCAGAUAAAAGGGAGGUUAUUGUAUAUAUGUAUUAUACUACUAGUGACAAAUACAGCUCUCGCUUGAACCAUUGAAGAAGCCUCUACGCAGUCGCUAAACCAGCUAGAAAUAGCAAGCAAAUCACUCUCAAAUUACAGCCCUUUGUCAGGACAACGUGUGUGUAUGUAUGUAUGUAUGUAUGUAUGUAUGUAUAUAUAGGUGUGUG